AAAUGCCCAGUAGUGCUCAUAUAAUAAAAGUACCAAAUAACUGAAAGCGCAAUCCCCCAAAACCAGAGGAUCCGCAGGGGAAAGGGCUAGUUUGUCAUCCCUAAUAAGCAAAAGCAAGCCAAGAUUCAGGUUUUUAAAGUAAAUUAUAGCAUCAAAACCAAAGAUAACAGGGCAAAACAUGCCCCAAAUUCUAUUUCCGAGUCUACUCAGCAUUAUCCUCAUCCUUAGCAUCAUAUUAUCAACUCCAGCAAUUUACUCAUCAUCCUCACCAGAAUCAACUCCGGCAGCUGAAUUGAGAGCUUUCAACCUAUCAAUCAACUUGGCUUUCCUUUCCUCAUAAGACAGCUUCUUCAGGUU
rnacentral:lncRNA from 1 species